GGAGAGAUGCCAGAGCGGUUGAACGGGCCUGACUCGAAAUCAGGUGUCUGCUUUAUUGUGGACCGGGGGUUCGAAUCCCUCUCUCUCCG
rnacentral:tRNA from 1 species